AACAACCAAGGCAAAAAGAAUUCAGUAUCUUCAAGAAACGCAUCCACACCUGUCGCUUAGUCAUGGUAUCUGCACAGAAACCCUACAAGGUGUUCCCUUUGCUGAUAAGGGAACUAAGGCACAGAGAAGACAGGUGGAAGGGAAGCCUUCCUGGCUCUGGCUCCCUGUAGGCGCUCCCUGCUGGAGUCAUGCCUGCUCCGCCCACCAUCAGGGCUUCAGCAUCCACAGCUGGAAGUCGG